ACAGGACCUUUUAAUCAGCCAUCUUAAGGCGGGGGUACUGAAGUGGCCUAAAGGUGCUAGCUCUCUGCUGUCAGAGGCUAAGCCAAGCUGCUUUAGGAAGGAAAGUCUGCAAACAGCACAGUAAAAUCAUCACUCAGAUGGAAAUAAGAGACACUGCCAUAAAGAUUCAGAAAAUAAAGCAGAAUGAGAAACCCUGCAACAACAUGUCCUUUAAACAACAGGACUCAUGGCACAGCUGACACUGGGAGAAGAUGUAUGUAGAUUUGACAGGGUGCACUCAAAGAACUGUGGGAGCCGUGGGGCGCUUGUGACAAAUUCUUUUCUGACAGCACCAAAAUUUCAGCUCUGCAGCUCCUAGACACUUGCUUUGACAAACAGGGAGUAGCUGAGUCCCACAGUCACCCCAUUAGUGCCUUUCAGGGCCAGGGCAAGACAGCUGAGAUGCUGUCAGCAUUGGCUGCACUGACACUGCAGGAGGCUGCAGCGGCUUUUCUCCAAUAAUAAGUAUUAAAUUUAAUAGGCAUUAAUCUGCAAUGAAAUGAAUUUCAUUUCUGUCAGGGUUGAAUCUGAGACUAGGAUCACACAGAAUACAGGAAAAAGUGAAAGAAAGAGCAAAGCAGUUUAAACUCUUAACAUCAGUUUGGCUUUUUGUUUCUGAACUAAUACGUGGAUAGAUGGAGAAAUGAGAGAAGGAG